rnacentral:tRNA from 3 species
GGCGGAGUAGCUCAGUCGGUUAGAGCGGGGGAAUCAUAAUCCCUGUGUCGGGGGUUCGAAUCCCUCCUCCGCUACCA